rnacentral:misc_RNA from 1 species
UACGAGGGGUGCAAGCGUUAAUCGGAAUUACUGGGCGUAAAGCGCGCGUAGGCGGUUUGUUAAGUCAGAUGUGAAAGCCCUGGGCUCAACCUGGGAACUGCAUCUGAUACUGGCAAACUAGAGUACAGAAGAGGGUGGUGGAAUUUCCUGUGUAGCGGUGAAAUGCGUAGAUAUAGGAAGGAACAUCAGUGGCGAAGGCGACCACCUGGUCUGAUACUGACGCUGAGGUGCGAAAGCGUGGGGAGCAAACAGG